CCGAAAGAACCACAGUCGUCCUCUCUUGAUGAUCUGGAGAGCUGCUGGAAGCCUUCACGCACCUGUAGCGAAGAAUGUCAGGAUGAUGCUUCCCACCAGCCCUUCAACUUUGGAAUUUGAACCUCUGGGGGAAAAAGCAAGAAGUCAUCUGUUUUAAGUCUCUACCAGGGACUUUAACCAAAAUAAAUCCAAUCCAACCCCACCCCAAACACUCAUGGGACAGGCUGCAACUUCUCUCUUCUCAAGAGCUCCUCCGGAUAUUCCAGUCGGCUGCCCCCGUGUUCUUGAAGGUACGCAAGCAUGUAAAGGGAAUAUCAGAGGAAAAAGAAAAAGAAUAAAAUUCCGCUUAAUACCGUAGCAGGACGUAGAAUUGGAGAAGAAGGAUGGCAGUCCCAAGGGCAAAAAUCACGAGUUGCCUGGCGAAAAGAACAAAGAAAUAAAAAAUGAGAGAGA